CGAUUGUAGUCAUAUGCUUGUCUCAAAGAUUAAGCCAUGCAUGUCUAAGUAUAAAUAACUACACAGUAAAACUGCGAAUGGCUCAUUAAAACAGUUAUAGUUUAUUUGAUACAUUAAAUGGAUAACUGUAGAAAAACUAGAGCUAAUACAUGCCGAAACCGCAAGGUUGUAUUUAUUAGAUAUACCAAUUAGGUGAAUCAUAAUAACUUCGCAAAUCGCAACACUGUUGCGAUAAAUCAUUCAAGUUUCUGCCCUAUCAUGCUUUCGAUGGUAGUGUAUUGGACUACCAUGGCUCUCACGGGUAACGGGGAAUUAGGGUUCGAUUCCGGAGAAGGAGCCUGAGAAACGGCUACUACAUCUAAGGAAGGCAGCAGGCGCGUAAAUUACCCAAUCCUGACUCAGGGAGGUAGUGACAGGAUAUAACGACGCGACUAAAAAUCGCGAUUGUAGUGAGGGUAUUCUAAACCGAACCACUAGUACGAUUGGAGGGCAAGUCUGGUA
rnacentral:rRNA from 1 species